rnacentral:rRNA from 1 species
AGAGCGAACGCUGGCGGCAGGCCUAAUACAUGCAAGUCGAACGGAUCCUUCGGGAUUAGUGGCGGACGGGUGAGUAACACGUGGGAACGUACCCUUUGGUUCGGAACAACUCAGGGAAACUUGAGCUAAUACCGAAUGUGCCCUUCGGGGAAAAGAUUUAUCGCCAUUGGAGCGGCCCGCGUCUGAUUAGCUAGUUGGUGAGGUAAAGGCCCACCAAGGCUACGAUCAGUAGCUGGUCUGAGAGGAUGAUCAGCCACACUGGGACUGAGACACGGCCCAGACUCCUACGGGAGGCAGCAGUAGGGAAUCUUGCGCAAUGGGCGAAAGCCUGACGCAGCCAUGCCGCGUGAAUGAUGAAGGUCUUAGGAUUGUAAAAUUCUUUCAGCGGGGACGAUAAUGACGGUACCGCAGAAGAAGCCCCGGCUAACUUCGUGCCAGCAGCCGC